rnacentral:rRNA from 1 species
CUUAGUGGCGGACGGGUGAGUAACGCGUGAGAAUCUGCCUUCAGGACGGAGACAACAGUUGGAAACGACUGCUAAGCCCCGAUGUACCGAAAGGGAAAAUAUUUAUAGCCUGAAGAUGAGCUCGCGUCCGAUUAGCUAGUUGGCGGAGUAAAGCCCACCAAGGCGACGAUCGGUAGCUGGUCUGAGAGGACGAUCAGCCACACUGGGACUGAGACACGGCCCAG